rnacentral:rRNA from 1 species
GAAAUGUGAUAGUGGCGUCACCGGUGAGUAACGCGUAAGAAUCUACCUCAAGGACGGGGACAACAGCUGGAAACGGCUGCUAAAACCCGAUGUGCCGCAAGGUGAAAUAUUUAUAGCCUAGAGAAGAGCUUGCGUCUGAUUAGCUAGUUGGUGGGGUAAGAGCCUACCAAGGCGACGAUCAGUAGCUGGUCUGAGAGGAUGAGCAGCCACACUGGGACUGAGACACGGCCCAGACUCCUACGGGAGGCAGCAGUGGGGAAUUUUCCGCAAUGGGCGAAAGCCUGUUCUGAGCAACGCCGCGUGAGGGAGGAAGGCUCUUGGGUUGUAAACCUCUUUUGCUUGGGAAGAAGAUCUGACGGUACCAAGCGAAUCAGCAUCGGCUAACUCCGUGCCAGCAGCCGCGGUAAUACGGAGGAUGCAAGCGUUAUCCGGAAUUAUUGGGCGUAAAGCGUCCGCAGGUGGUUAUUCAAGUCUGCUGUUAAAGACUGAAGCUUAACUUCGGAAAGGCAGUGGAAACUGAAAGACUAGAGGUCAGUAGGGGUAGCAGGAAUUCCCAGUGUACGGUGAAAUGCGUAGAGAUUGGGAAGAACAUCGUGGCGAAAGCGUGCUACUGGGCUGAAUCUGACCUGAGGGACAAGCUUGGGGAGCAAGGGAUAGAUACCCUUGAGUCCU